rnacentral:rRNA from 1 species
AGCAACCUGCCUUUCAGUGGGGGACGAAAGUUGGAAACGACUGCUAAUACCGCAUAAUGCAUUUUGUACCGCAUGGUCGAGAUGCCAAAGAUUUAUUGCUGAAAGAUGGGCUCGCGUCUGAUUAGAUAGUUGGUGAGGUAACGGCCCACCAAGUCGACGAUCAGUAGCCGGACUGAGAGGUUGAACGGCCACAUUGGGACUGAGAUACGGCCCAG